GAUGAACGCUGGCGGCGUGCCUAAUACAUGCAAGUCGAGCGAACAGACGAGGAGCUUGCUCCUCUGACGUUAGCGGCGGACGGGUGAGUAACACGUGGAUAACCUACCUAUAAGACUGGGAUAACUUCGGGAAACCGGCGCUAAUACCGGAUAAUAUAUUGAACCGCAUGGUUCAAUAGUGAAAGACGGUUUUGCUGUCACUUAUAGAUGGAUCCGCGCCGCAUUGGCUAGUUGGUAAGGUAACGGCUUACCAAGGCAACGAUGCGUAGCCGACCUGAGAGGGGGAUCGGCCACAUGGGAAGUGAGACACGGUCCAGACCCCUACGGGAGGGAGCAGUAGGGAAUUUUCCGCAAUGGGCGAAAGCUUGACGGAGCAACGCCGAGUGAGUGAUGAAGGUCCUCGGAUCGUAAAACUCUGUUAUUAGGGAAGAACAAAUGUGUAAGUAAAUAUGCACGUCUUGACGGUACCUAAUCAGAAAGCCGCGGCUAACUACGUG
rnacentral:rRNA from 1 species